GUUACAGCUUUGACAUUGCUUCCCCUUUUUGCCAUGAAUUUUCAAGAAGUGUUGGUAACCACCGGUAUGAUCUUUUUUAAAGGUAAAAGUGCCAAUGGUAGUACCCUUCAUUUCAACUGCUUUCUUUAAAAUAUCAGUUGCAUUUUGACAAAUUAGCUGAUACUGCGAUAAGUUCAAAUUUUUAGCUAAAGUUUCAGGGUGAAUCUUACUUGCAAACAAAAUUUCAUCAGCGUAAAUAUUGCCAAUACCGCUAAUGUUGGUCUGAUCUAAAAUAAAGGUUUUAAUCUUCUUGUUGGACUUAUGGCCUUUGUUAAAGAUCGCUUGAUGGUUAAAUUCCUGAUCUAAGGGAUCGAGUGCUAAUUUGUUCAAUUCACGUGCGUUUUCAAACUGAUAUCUAUUGAACAAGUGAAAGGUACCAAAUUGACGCGUAUCAUGAUAGUUAAGUUGAUCACCAUCUUGGAAUAAAAACUCGACUAAAACAUGGUUUAAGUCAAACUGACUGCCUUUAGCUUCAAAGAAAUAUUUGCCUUCCAUGCGUAAGUGUGACACUAAAAACAAACCGUUACUUAAACAAAAAAUAAUGUACUUGCCGCGGCGCUUAAUGUCCACAAAGCUGUGGUUGACUAACGCAUCGUUAAGCUGCUUGACAUUAGUAUUUUUCAACACCUUGUCUAAGUGAACCUUAACUUGCUUGACAGGUUUGUUUAAAA
rnacentral:sRNA from 1 species